rnacentral:rRNA from 1 species
UACGUAGGUGGCGAGCGUUGUCCGGAUUUACUGGGUGUAAAGGGCGCGUAGGCGGGGCGGCAAGUCCGAUGUGAAAUCCCGCGGCUCAACCGUGGAACCGCAUCGGAAACUGUCGUCCUUGAGUAUCGGAGGGGAAAGCGGAAUUCCUAGUGUAGCGGUGAAAUGCGUAGAUAUUAGGAGGAACACCGGUGGCGAAGGCGGCUUUCUGGCCGAAAACUGACGCUGAGGCGCGAAAGCGUGGGGAGCAAACAGGAUUAGAUACCCUGGUAGUCCACGCCGUAAACGAUGGAUACUAGGUGUGGGAGGUAUCGACCCCUUCCGUGCCGUCGUAAACACAUUAAGUAUCCCACCUGGGGAGUACGGCCGCAAGGCUGAAACUCAAAGGAAUUGACGGGGGCCCGCACAAGCAGUGGAGUAUGUGGUUUAAUUCGAAGCAACGCGAAGAACCUUACCGGGGCUUGACAUCCCGCGCUAUUCCGGGAAACCGGGAGUUCCCUUUUCGGGACGCGGAGACAGGUGGUGCAUGGUU